AAUUUGUACCAUUUUUUUCAUUUUUUAAUUUUUUUUAAUUUGUACCAUAUUUUGGGUGAAUGUCCAUGAACACAAAAGGGCAGGU
rnacentral:ribozyme from 16 species